GAUGAACGCUAGCUACAGGCUUAACACAUGCAAGUCGAGGGGCAGCAUGAACUUAGCUUGCUAAGUUUGAUGGCGACCGGCGCACGGGUGGGUAACACGUAUCCAACCUUCCGUUUACUCAGGGAUAGCCUUUCGAAAGAAAGAUUAAUACCUGAUAGUAUGGUGAGAUUGCAUGAUAGCACCAUUAAAGAUUUAUUGGUAAACGAUGGGGAUGCGUUCCAUUAGGUAGUAGGCGGGGUAACGGCCCACCUAGCCGACGAUGGAUAGGGGUUCUGAGAGGAAGGUCCCCCCACAUUGGAACUGAGACACGGUCCAAACUCCUACGGGAGGCAGCAGUGAGGAUAUUGGCAAUGGGCAGAGCCUGAACCAGCCAAGUUAGCGUGAAGGAUGAAGGUCCUACGGAUUGUAAAACUUCUUUUAUAAGGGAUAAACCCUCCCAGUGUGGGAGCUUGUAUGUACCUUAUGAAUAAGCAUCGGCUAACUCCGUG
rnacentral:rRNA from 1 species